rnacentral:tRNA from 1 species
GAAUCGUUCGGCGCGACCGGGUCGAGCGUGCCGCGCCCUUCCGCGGCGAGCCGGUCCGGAUGGUCGAGCCGCGCGGCGAUCAUCCCGCGCACGGCUUCC